rnacentral:rRNA from 1 species
CAGUCGCCGCGGUAAUACGGAGGAUGCAAGCGUUAUCCGGAAUGAUUGGGCGUAAAGGGCUCGCAGGCGGUUUCUUAAGUCUGAUGUGAAAGCCCCCGGCUCAACCGGGGAGGGUCAUUGGAAACUGGGAAACUUGAGUGCAGAAGAGGAGAGUGGAAUUCCACGUGUAGCGGUGAAAUGCGUAGAGAUGUGGAGGAACACCAGUGGCGAAAGCGGCUCUCUGGCUUGUAACUGACGCUGAGGCUCGAAAGCGUGGGGAGCAAACAGGAUUAGAUACCCCGGUAGUCCCUGUCUCUUAUAC